AGAGUCUUAGUUUAAUUAAAAUGUCUGUUUUGCAGGCAGAAGAUGUGGUUGUCUGCAGGCUCUA
rnacentral:tRNA from 1 species